rnacentral:rRNA from 1 species
UACGAAGGGGGCGAGCGUUGUUCGGAAUCACUGGGCGUAAAGGGCGCGUAGGCGGCCAUGUAAGUCAGGUGUGAAAGCCCUCGGCUUAACUGAGGAAGUGCAUCCAAAACUGAGUAGCUAGAGUACGAAAGAGGGUCGCGGAAUUCCCGGUGUAGAGGUGAAAUUCGUAGAUAUCGGGAGGAACACCGGUGGCGAAGGCAGGUCUCUGGGCCGAUACUGACGCUGAGGAGCGAAAGCGUGGGGAGCGAACAGG